GACAGAGGGUGCAAACGUUGUUCGGAAUUACUGGGCGUAAAGCGCGUGUAGGCUGCUUCGAAAGUCGGGUGUGAAAGCCCCGGGCUCAACCCGGGAAGUGCACUCGAAACUUCGGAGCUCGAGUCCUGGAGAGGAAGGCGGAAUUCUCGGUGUAGAGGUGAAAUUCGUAGAUAUCGAGAGGAACACCGGUGGCGAAGGCGGCCUUCUGGACAGUGACUGACGCUGAGACGCGAAAGCGUGGGGAGCAAACAGG
rnacentral:rRNA from 1 species